UGCCUACGGGUGGCAGCAGUGGGGAAUUUUGGACAAUGGGCGAAAGCCUGAUCCAGCCAUGCCGCGUGAGUGAAGAAGGCCUUCGGGUUGUAAAGCUCUUUCGGACAGAAAGAAAACGUACGGGCUAAUACCCUGUAUGGAUGACGGUACUGUAAGAAGAAGCACCGGCUAACUACGUGCCAGCAGCCGCGGUAAUACGUAGGGUGCGAGCGUUAAUCGGAAUUACUGGGCGUAAAGCGUGCGCAGGCGGUUUCGUAAGACAGAUGUGAAAUCCCCGGGCUUAACCUGGGAACUGCAUUUGUGACUGCGAGGCUAGAGUGCGGCAGAGGGGGGUAGAAUUCCACGUGUAGCAGUGAAAUGCGUAGAGAUGUGGAGGAAUACCGAUGGCGAAGGCAGCCCCCUGGGUCGACACUGACGCUCAUGCACGAAAGCGUGGGGAGCAAACAGGAUUAGAUACCCCGGUAGUCUAC
rnacentral:rRNA from 1 species